rnacentral:pre_miRNA from 1 species
AUUAUACUCCCUCCAUUCGAAAAUAUUUGUCAUCAAAAUGGAUAAAAUCUCCCUUUUAUCCAUUUUGAUGACAAGUAUUUUCGGACGGAGGGAGUACUAU